CAGAGAUAUAUGGUUAGUAAAAAAAAAAAACCCCAAAUCUUUCAGUCCCAGGACAACAUACAGUCAGCCUAGAAGGAUCCUUUGGCAUCUGACCUCAGACUGUAAGAAGGACUUGCAAAUUUCUGAAUGGGUGCAAAGGUGGCAGAUGACUUUCAAGGAUGUGAUCCAGACCUGCGCUGAAAAUGCUCACUGGAACGGGGGGAGAUACUUAAAGAAAGUCAGGGAAAGGUGCCAGUCAUCAUCUCCAUCAGCAAGAAAUGGGCACCAGUAUGUGUGCAUUGUGUGUGAGGGAAGAGCAUGAAAUGGAGCCUUGCAAGGAACUGAAGAGAGGAAGCAAGGAAAAUGCUGUCUCAUCUCCAGAAAGAAAGGCCAUCUCCAAAACUGCCUGGAUCGGCACCAUCAGCCCAGGCUUCAGAGCACAGGUGCAGAGAAUCCGGUGUUGUGCUUCGCAACUAAGACAGCGGUCCGCAUCCCCCCCGGGCGGCGGACUGGCCUGUUAGGAACCGGGCCGCACAGCAGGAGGUGAGGGGCGGGCGAACGAGCGAAGCUUCAUCUGUAUUUACAGCUGUUCCACAUCGCUCGCAUUACCACCUGAGCUCCGUCUCCUGUCAGCAUUAUGAAAUAGCUCCGAGUACAAGCUGCUUAAGAAGUCUUUUACAACACAAAGUACAUGAGAAAAUAAAUAGCCUGCCUGCUCCCAACAACACAUCUGUUUUUAAAGAUCUGCACUUAAUAGCUGUGGAUGGGCCACUGCCCCAGUGCGUGCUGACUCAGCAGAGGUUCCCAAACAGCCCAAGGCAGGCUUUCGCUGCAGCAUGCUCUCCCCAGGGGGUACCUUGGAGAUGACUCGUCAGGGCACAGGAAAUUUUUACUUGAUGAGGAAAAGCCUUGCCCUCUUUUCUCUGGAGCUUAGUCAAAUGGAGCACUCUGCCACAGCAGGUAAAAAGCUUUAAGUGUUUUGAAAUGCUGUAAAAUUGGGCUUUAUGGAAGUAUUUCCCUUCUUGCUUCCCAGGAGAUGGUCAGUUACAAAGAGCAGACUGUGGCUGAAAUUCACACAGAUAUGCAAAAACCCAGCGGGCAGAACAGGAACAUGCUACUUAUUCACACAGCUGAAUGGGCCUCUCUUGGAAUCAACAUGUGGCACCUUUCUUAUUACCCUGACUGCAAAAAGAGCCCAAAUGGAAAGGCCUUGGUAGCUUAAUGUCUCAGCCUUCAAUGAUGCUAUUAAUAGAACUGGGAACAUUUAUCAACCUCUCACAAUAUUUCCUGUAGAGAGGACCGUCACAACACACAACACACGUAAGUAGCCUGCAGAAAUCUCGAAGAGAAUCCAACCUGCUGGGAGUCCAUCAGGGGCAGAAUUUAGCUACAAUAUCUCUAAACCCUCAGCUCUGAAAAACUGAGGGAUUGAAAAGGUCAUUGGAUGUGGAGGAAUUAGGGAACUAUAAUGCAUAGCCUAAAAGGAAACCACCAGCAGGUUAUUUCUGUGUUAUUGUUAACAUUGUCUAGUGGCUACAUAUAUAUGUUAAUAUAAAACAACUUUUCUCACGUAAUUUUUUAAAUUAUCAAAGUGGCUAUUGUAAAGAGUAGGUCUUUUAUGGGUAGCAGCUAUUUGUCGUGGAGACCUUUUGUCUUUACAUGUUUGGGGCGUUGUGGCCUGAACACCAUGCUAACCUUGCUUGCUGGUAGACUGGACACGUGAUUUCCAACACUGGUCUUGAGCUGAGCGGCUCUGCCACACAUUAUCAGAUUUUCUAGAUGAAAAAGGUCCUGCUUACAUUGUUUUAGAAAAACCUUUGACUUCCUAAGGGUCCUGUUUAGAAGCGUUACAUGGUACAUACACCCGCUUGAAAUUCAGGAAGAGCAGUGUUACCCGGAGAGGCUUCUGCUUCACUUUUACAACAGGUGGAUCCUGAGAAGCAGGUGGAAAACAGUGGCUAAUAAAACCGUGUUCUCAGAUUGGCCAGUUUUAUAGAAGAGGUGCAUCACUCUAUUAGGUAAAUGCAAAGUAUAAAGCCGUUAUGUAAGUUCAUUGUUCUUUAAGGACAUUCGAGUUGACAUUUACUGUCAUCAAUUUGCAGUGGGAUGGAUAUUAUGGAAACAGUUUAAAUAAACUGUCUAUCACCUUCCUUUAUAAAACUGGCAGUUGAAAGAGGGCAGAGAGGUUCCAGUGUAACAGGAUUUUCUGUGUAUCUACUUUAGGAUUUAAAUGGGAAGACAAUUCUCCAACAGUCUCUGAUCCGGUAAUGUUUUUGGUGCAAGCCUAGAUGUCUCCUCACUUGGUUAAGGGGAGGCGGGAUGGAUUGUGUCUGCUUUGCAUCACUUUCCCUUGGGUGGAUCUGAAACAAGGCCCGACAUUCCCAGCAGGUUUGCCUGUUUGUUGUGCCUCUUCUUCCUUGUCCCUCACACCCCGCAGAGGGUGGAGCUCCUCACCUGGCCACUCAAGCAGCUCUUUUCCUUCUAAUAGCAUUUUUUUUUUUUUUGCGGUACACGGGCCUCUUACUGUUGUGGCCUCUGCCGUUGUGGAGCACAGGCUCCGGAUGCGCAGGCCCAGCGGCCACAGCUCACAGGCCCAGCCGCUCCACAGCAUGUGGGAUCUUCCUGGACCGGGGCACGAACCCGUGUCCCCUGCAUCGGCAGGCGGACUCUCAACCACUGCGCCACCAGGGAAGUCCCUAAUAGCAUUUUAAAGAAUGACCAUGUGAGAUGGAAUAGAAAAUGCCCCAAGGUUUGCACGAGAAUAAAAUGAUCUUGUCAUUAAGGACAUUUUCAACCCUGCUUCCCAUAGAAAUCUAAGCUAAGAGGAAGGAUCUUCUAAUGAGGUAAUUUUAAGGAACCUUUAAAGAAUGGCUGUUGAAAGAUGAGUCGUCCUUCUCCAAGCCAGUGUGAGCUCGAGGGGAGGCAUUGUCUUUAUGGAUGUGAUACAUGACCUGUGCUAUUUUGGAAACACUUAUCUCUGAAAUGUGUUAAAACAAUAAUACAAAUAGCAGUGGCUCAUCAAUCUCAGCAUGUUACAAUCCUGCCACCUUGUGGGGACUCUUUAAAGUACAUACGGGGGAAAAUAGAGGGCAGGAUGUGCUUGCUCCUUAUUUGUCUCUGCUUGGCAGGUGACAAGAUGUGGGCAGACAAGACUUGGGUGGGGAGUCUAAAUGUGGCCCUGCACCUGUUGCUGAGAACAGGGACACAGCUGGAGAGGAUUCUGAAGGAAGCCAUGCUGCCCAUAGCCAUGCUUACGCAAGUGGGUAGAGCCGCAGGUUAGUAAUGGAGCUUAACAUUUUCACCCUCAUAUUGUUAAUUAACUUCAGAUCAGAAUAAAGCAUGGUCAUUUCCAACUGCUGAUUGUUGGCUGACGUUUGGAAAUGAGUUACUGGAUUCAGGAUGGCAUAUGAUUGGUGGAUAAGCAUUCCUUGACUCUAGAUUGGUGCAGAGUAGAGAUUUCAGUUGCAUUGAUCAAAACUGGCAUCUCUGUCCUUGAAAGCACCAAAUGAUGAAUGAUAUAAAAAUUGCAUCAUUGGAGUAUAAUCUGCAAAAAUACUGGUUCACUAUGCUGUACACCUGAAAAUAAUGUAAUAUUGUAACUCAACUAUACUUCAAUACAAAAUUAAUUUAAAAUAGCAUCAUUUUCUUCUUUCAUGAGUCAAAAAUCCUCUAACAAAUGUGGGCUAACAUGACAUCUGUGAAGUUGGGUGCUUCUUUGUGAUGCUCUUUCAGCAUGAAUACUAAGCGGAAGAUACUUUUUACGGCACUGACUUUAAUAUUCUGAAAUACAAAAUCCCUAUUCAAGCUGUUUACUGAGAAACUGAGUUUAACUCCCUGCACAUAAGCUUUUUUGCUAAGUAGUGGGCAUUUGCUAACUCCCUGCAUAUAAGCUUUUUUGGUAAGUAGUGGGCAUUUGCGGCACUAUUUACACACUAAUGCCUGAACAGUAAUUCUUUGCAGUAUGGAAAAUGUAUGUUUCCCCUUUAAAUACAUAUCAGUAUCCAAUUGAUUUAUCCUUUGGCCGGGACUGUACUUAGCUUUUAAAAUCACAGCAUUCAAUCUGCUGGAGGAAGAGCUUUCUUUUGCUCUAUUCUUUCCUUCUCUGCUCCCUUCUUUCCCCCAACUCCCCAAGAGCACAGGGACUCUUCCUGGCUGCUCUUCUUAGUUAUUCACGUUUUAAAAUUUAAAGUUCAAAGUUCAACUUUCCAAUAAACUUCAAGUAAAAAAAAACAAAAAACAUGCAGCCAGCUUACUGUAUACAAAUCCACACAGGCCACGCUGGUUGUAAAGACUUGGUAUAAACGCCGUAUAUACCUGCUGAGAACCUGUCACAUUUUGACAAUCUUCUGUAAUACUAGAAGUCCACACGCUUAAUCCCUCCCGUCCUCCACGAGAAAUAGCCACAAAUAAAACAUGUAGAAAUGUUUUAUGCAGCUCUAAAUGGGCUGAAGAAUAAAAAGUAUAAAGAGAAGACAGGGUAUCACACUAUCAAAUGAGAUAAUACGCAUAAAAUAUGCUCUCUGAUCUGUGAUGUUCUGGCAUGUAUUAAUAAUAGGAUUGACAUAAUCCAUUUCACAGGGCAGGGCUUUCUCAAGAUACUCUUAAAUUGCCCUGGAGGAGAGUGAAUGUCAUCCUGUUGCUGUAAGCUGCUGGUGGGGAGGGGUACGAUGGCAUAAAGAAGAAAACUAAAGGAACUGAGAAUAGUAGAGGGUUUCUGUCCACUGUGCUAGAACAAAUAAGAAACAUAUAGAUAGGUAGUUCCCACUUCUGGAAUUAGUGUGUAAGUCUUAAUUCUUAAAAUUCUGAAUUCUCAUCUUAAAAAAAGAAAAGAAAACGGUGAGAAUUGAAAAUGAUAGGAGACUUGAGAGAUAAUAACCAUAUCAUGUUGGAGUUUGUUUAAAAAGGAAUGCUCACCCUCCUUUUCCUAGCGCUUGAUCUCACCCUAACAGUGUGAAAGGUUAAACUAACUAGUUCCCUUAGAAGAAGAAUGAUGGAGUGUUACUGUGAGCCGGGCAUGGUGCUGGGUGCCUUGCACACAGUGUAUAUAAUUUAGUCCAUGGUAAUCCUCAGGGUAGAUAAUUAUCCUCAUUUUUCAGUGAGUUUACUUACAUUUAGAGAGGACAGUAAGUUAUUCAGUGAGCCCCCCUGAGUUCACUGAGUAAAGGUAGGUGGGUUAUACCAAGACAGGCAGGCAGACCCGCAUCGUGGAUAACUUGGAUUAAAGAAGACCCAGUUUAUUUCCUCAGUGACUCUCAAUGCAAAGGAGCUGAGAGGGGAUCACGUACCAUGUCCCUCUUCCCCAGUGAAGAAAUCAGCUAUAUAACUGGAUGUUGUGGAGGAAUCAAGGUUGAAAGACCACUGCUUUUGUCUUUUUAAACAUUUAUGAAAGCAAAACACAUUUAAGAAUGUUUUUUGAAAUGAUGAAAAUCAUCUCUGGACCAUAUACCUCUGCUGUUAGCAUCUGAUGCAUUUCUUGGAAAGGCUUUUCUUAUGCAUUUUUCUAGCUAUUGAUAUAGACAUGCUUAUGCAGUAUACAGAGUUUUAUAUCCUGUUUUCCCUACUUAACAUAAUGUCAUAAGUAUGUCAUCCUCAUUUUAUAUUGUUUCAAUUGAAAGAUUUUAAGAGUAUGGUGGCAUAUUAAAAUUUGCAUUUCAUGGACCUGUUUUCACACUUCUAGGUACCACUACCCAUUUUGUUUGGAUGGAGUUUAACGGUGUCCCCUGCCAUGCUUCUAAUUUUCAGUCUUGGAAGCCAGCAGGUUGUGUUUGCAGCCCAUAUUGGCAUUUAUCCUGACUGACCUCUACACAUAUUUGCUUACUGUGGUAUUUAUGUUAAUGUCUACUUUCUCAAAUAUGUCUCUCAGUUUCUCUUUCUUUCUUUCUCUUUCUCUGGUAGGCUCUUAAUAAAUAUUUUUCAUAAAAUAAAUGUCAUAAAUGUCUUAUUCAUCUUUGCAUUUAGUAGCCUUUUAAUAAAUAUUUGUCAUGAAAUAAAUUGUCAAACCUUUAAGUAGCCUUUAAAAAGCCGACACUUCUCUCCACACACACGAAAAAUAAAGAAUGAAGAUAAGGGAAAGAAAUCAGAUUAAAAGAGGAGAUCUGUAUGGUUUCAUGAUCUGAAACCCUGAAAAUACAGUACAGCCCAAUAGAGAUGAAAAAUUCUAAAAUAUGUAAUUCUGACCACAUAGUCAUACAUAAUUAAAACGUGCAAGAUCUGAUGUUCUAUGAGUCUUUCUGUACCAAUGCACGGGACCACUACUCAACCUCUCUCUUGCUUUUGUCUUAUCUACUAAGUGGAAUGCUCUUUUUUGGAGAAGUUAAAACAAACAUACACUGCUGAGAGAAAAUGGAAACUGGAAUGAGAACAGAAGGUUAUAAGAAAACUUAAAUGAGUUAAAAUCUCCAGUCCAGAUGGGAAAGUACCUUUGUUUUCAGAAAAAGGGAAAAAAAUGUGAUCUCUAGAAACCACAGAAGGAUAUGCUUGAGACCUCCUAUAAAAGAAAGUUUGUGUUUUAGAAAUAUAACGAAGAAAAGAAAGGUGAUCACUGAGGACCAGCAGUGUUAUUCACCAAUAAACCAGACCAAUUCAAUGUGGACUGGCUGAGGGACCUGAUUCAAGAGAAGUUCAAGUGAUACAAAGGCCCUCAAGGUUUUGGUUGACCGAAUAUGGUACCUAAUGGUGAACUAAUGGUAUGAUCCAUCCGUGUAAAACAUUAAAACAUUCCCAGGUAUAUUAGUAGAAUAUGGUGACAGACCAGUGAAAGGAGCAACUCUGCUGUUCUCUGGACUGGGCACUCCAUUUUGAGUAGUAUGGUCUAUUCUAGGUGCCAUAUUUUGAAAGAGAUAUUUCAAAUGUAAGAAUAUUAUCAGUGUGAAUAUGGGAAUUAGAAAUUAAUUAAGGAGAAUGCUUGAGAUAAUGGAAUAUUCAGCGUGGGAAAGGAGAACACUUAGCUGUUUUCAAAUGCUUGAAGGGGUGUUUGUUAGAGAAGAUAUAAUGUGUUUGGCUACAGAAACACAGUCAUUACGUAGAGGUUAUAGGGAUGCAGUUUUACUUCAUUAUAACCAAUGGCUUUCUAACGACUACAGCCUGCCUCAUCAUAACACUGGAAAAUCCUCGUCAAUGGAAUGUUCAAGCAAAGGCUGUAAGUCCACAUCAAGUAUCAUAUAAAAAGAUUCAUGUAUUAAGAUGGAGAUUGGACCAGCUGGUCUCUAGGGCUUCUGCUAAUUACAAUUUAUAAUUCUAAGUCAGUUGUUCAGAAUUUAGGAUCCACUUUCCUAUAGAAUCCAAAUGGACAUUUGGAUCCAAGGUCAAAAACGUUUAUUUUAACCAUGGUGUUUUUAAAUUCUUCAGUUGAAAACACUUUCCUGAGUCCAGGGAACAGACACGAGGGAUAACAGUCUAGAGAACAGGACGUGAGGCAGAAGGGAGGGAGGAUCAUUAGCCUUCCCUUUGCUGGGGGAAAUCGAGCAUAAGGCCACGUUAUGAAAGAGCUAAGGAAACAUUCUACAGUCCACGUGGCAGAUCUCAGUGAGGUCUUAGGAGAAAAUCAACUCCUUGAACUAAUCCCCACAUGACUGACAGCCUUUCACUUGCUAGCUGUGCUGUGUGAUUGUAGGUAUUUUCUUCUGUGAACUGGGGCUAAUAAUACUUCCAACGAUAUAAAUAAACAUAAAUAAAACAAUUAAUAGCUUGUGAGAAUCAAAUGAAAUAAUGGACAUACAGUGCCCGGCAGAAUACUGGACACAUACUAUAUAGUUACUUGUAAAUGCAGGGAUUCCUCACAGUAUCUAUGUGUGUGUGCUUCCUUCACUUUUCAAAGAAGUUCCACAUGCAUUACCUCAUUUGAUUCUUACAAUAAUCCCAUUGGCAGGCAAGGUAGGUGUAAUACCCACAUUUUACAGAGGAAGAAAUGAUGCUUGGAAUAAAUGGCCAGUUUUCCUAAAAGAUGAUUAUUUGGCUUCACAAAGUGUUGCAGUGAUAAGGAACCAGAUUGUAUAAUCAGACCCACUGGAUCAAAAUUCCUAUCCUGUCACUUACUGGCCGUGUCUGGGUGUAUUACUUAGGCUAGCUAAUUCUUAUUAACUCAACUAAAAAUGGGAUGAUGGUAUAUAGGUAUAUAUUUUACACAGCUGUUGGGAAAAUUACAAUAAUAUUGGAUAGAAAUUGUUAAAAAGCAGUCAUUAUGAUCAUUACUGUAUAGUAAUUAUGCCAUUUACUAAAUGCUUAGUAUAUGCUAGGGGUUUAACAAGCAUUUUUUAAAGACUCUUUGAUAUAUGUGUUGUUAGUAUAUUCAUUGUACAGAUGAGGAAACUGGGGGAUAGAUUAGCCAAGUAGCUUUCCCACAUUCAUACAGAUGGUAGGUUAGAGUGCUGGGAUUUGAACCCAGGCAGGCUGACUCUGGAAUCCAUGCUCUAAUCAAGGAUAUACUACCUCCAGUGCUAUGAAAUAUUUUGUGUGUGUCUCUCUGUCACACAAACACAUAUACAUGUAAUCAUAUUAGGUACGCACAUUUGCAUGAUGUUUAGAAACAAUUUUAAUUAUGUAUUACUGGUUUUAAAAAAUAGAAUACCAAAUUGUAUGCAUGAUAUGCGAUCUACUAUGCAAAAUGCAAAUAAAAGGGGCUGAAAAUCAAUAUGGUUGCCUCUGUGUGGUGCUAUGGUAGGUGGGUUUUAUUCUUGAUUCUGUAGACAUUUCUGUGCUAACUUUUCAACUGAAAACACGUGCCAUUUUAUAAACAGGAAAAUUAAAGGAGAAUAGAUAUAUAAAAGAAAGUAAUCCAAGGAAGAUGUAAGGAGAAAAGGUUUUCAUAGACAGGUGACUGUAAGGCCAGCAGGUCCGGGGAAGGGCCCAGGGAGCCAGACGGAACCCCCGCCAAAGUGGCUGAUGCAACCGCCACCUGACAUUGCCACACCACUCGGCCCCGGUCUUCCCGCUCCCCGAGGGGCGGAACCAACGGCUCUGAGCCUGAUGUAACCGACACCUGACAUUGCCACAACACCCGAGAGAUUACCAAAAAAGGGCUGCUUCACACAGCAAGCGCCUCCCCUGCAUCCACCCCUAUAAAUUUUGUUCGCGCCCGCACCCGGGCGCGACUUCUCUGGCCCCUUUCUCUCGGACCAGUGAAUCUCGCCCAGGAGCAUUCCCAAAUAAAGCUUGUUUAAGCUCUCCUCCGUUUCUUGGUGCCAUUCCUUAUGGUGAC